rnacentral:rRNA from 1 species
GAUGAACGCUGGCGGCGUGCCUAAUACAUGCAAGUCGAGCGAACAGAUGAGGAGCUUGCUCCUCUGACGUUAGCGGCGGACGGGUGAGUAACACGUGGAUAACCUACCUAUAAGACUGGGAUAACUUCGGGAAACCGGAGCUAAUACCGGAUAAUAUAUUGAACCGCAUGGUUCAAUAGUGAAAGACGGUUUUGCUGUCACUUAUAGAUGGAUCCGCGCCGCAUUAGCUAGUUGGUAAGGUAACGGCUUACCAAGGCAACGAUGCGUAGCCGACCUGAGAGGGUGAUCGGCAACACUGGAACUGAGACACGGUCCAGACUCCUACGGGAGGCAGCAGUAGGGAAUCUUCCGCAAAGGGCGAAAGCCUGACGGAGCAACGCCGCGUGAGUGAUGAAGGUCUUCGGAUCGUAAAACUCUGUUAUUAGGGAAGAACAAAUGUGUAAGUAACUAUGCACGUCUUGACGGUACCUAAUCAGAAAGCCACGGCUAACUACGUG